GGACCGACGGGAGCUUGCUCCCUUAGGUCAGCGGCGGACGGGUGAGUAACACGUGGGUAACCUGCCUGUAAGACUGGGAUAACUCCGGGAAACCGGGGCUAAUACCGGAUGCUUGAUUGAACCGCAUGGUUCAAUCAUAAAAGGUGGCUUUCAGCUACCACUUGCAGAUGGACCCGCGGCGCAUUAGCUAGUUGGUGAGGUAACGGCUCACCAAGGCGACGAUGCGUAGCCGACCUGAGAGGGUGAUCGGCCACACUGGGACUGAGACACGGCCCAGACUCCUACGGGAGGCAGCAGUAGGGAAUCUUCCGCAAUGGACGAAAGUCUGACGGAGCAACGCCGCGUGAGUGAUGAAGGUUUUCGGAUCGUAAAACUCUGUUGUUAGGGAAGAACAAGUACCGUUCGAAUAGGGCGGUACCUUGACGGUACCUAACCAGAAAGCCACGGCUAACUACGUGCCAGCAGCCGCGGUAAUACGUAGGUGGCAAGCGUUGUCCGGAAUUAUUGGGCGUAAAGCGCGCGCAGGCGGUUAUCUUAAGUCUGAUGUGAAAGCCCCCGGCUCAACCGGGGAGGGUCAUUGGAAACUGGGGAACUUGAGUGCAGAAGAGGAGAGUGGAAAUCCACGUGUAGCGGUGAAAUGCGUAGAGAUGUGGAGGAACACCAGUGGCGAAGGCGACUCUCUGGUCUGUAACUGACGCUGAGGCGCGAAAGCGUGGGGAGCGAACAGGAUUAGAUAUCCUGGUAGUACACGCCGUAAACGAUGAGUGCUAAGUGUUAGAGGGUUUCCGCCCUUUAGUGCUGCAGCAAACGCAUUUAAGCACUCCGCCCUGGGGAGUACGGUCGCAAGACUGAAACUCAAAGGAAUUGACGGGGGCCCGCACAAGCGGUGGAGCAUGUGGUUUAAUUCGAAGCAACGCGAAGAACCUUACCAGGUCUUGACAUCCUCUGACAACCCUAGAGAUAGGGCUUCCCCUUCGGGGGCAGAGUGACAGGUGGUGCAUGGUUUUUUGGUCAGCUCGUUCUGAGAUGUUGGGUUAAGUCCCGCAACGAGCGCAACCCUUGAUCUUAGUUGCCAGCAUUCAGUUGGGCACUCUAAGGUGACUGCCGGUGACAAACCGGAGGAAGGUGGGGAUGACGUCAAAUCAUCAUGCCCCUUAUGACCUGGGCUACACACGUGCUACAAUGGGCAGAACAAAGGGCAGCGAAGCCGCGAGGCUAAGCCAAUCCCACAAAUCUGUUCUCAGUUCGGAUCGCAGUCUGCAACUCGACUGCGUGAAGCUGGAAUCGCUAGUAAUCGCGGAUCAGCAUGCCGCGGUGAAUACGUUCCCGGGCCUUGUACACACCGCCCGUCACACCACGAGAGUUUGUAACACCCGAAGUCGGUGAGGUAACCUUGAGCCAGC
rnacentral:rRNA from 1 species